AACGCUAGCUACAGGCUUAACACAUGCAAGUCGAGGGGCAGCAUGGUCUUAGCUUGCUAAGGCUGAUGGCGACCGGCGCACGGGUGAGUAACACGUAUCCAACCUGCCGUCUACUCUUGGCCAGCCUUCUGAAAGGAAGAUUAAUCCAGGAUGGGAUCAUGAGUUCACAUGUCCGCAUGAUUAAAGGUAUUUUCCGGUAGACGAUGGGGAUGCGUUCCAUUAGAUAGUAGGCGGGGUAACGGCCCACCUAGUCAACGAUGGAUAGGGGUUCUGAGAGGAAGGUCCCCCACAUUGGAACUGAGACACGGUCCAAACUCCUACGGGAGGCAGCAGUGAGGAAUAUUGGUCAAUGGGCGAUGGCCUGAACCAGCCAAGUAGCGGGAAGGAUGACUGCCCUAUGGGUUGUAAACUUCUUUUAUAAAGGAAUAAAGUCGGGUAUGCAUACCCGUUUGCAUGUACUUUAUGAAUAAGGAUCGGCUAACUCCGUGCCAGCAGCCGCGGUAAUACGGAGGAUCCGAGCGUUAUCCGGAUUUAUUGGGUUUAAAGGGAGCGUAGAUGGAUGUUUAAGUCAGUUGUGAAAGUUUGCGGCUCAACCGUAAAAUUGCAGUUGAUACUGGAUGUCUUGAGUGCAGUUGAGGCAGGCGGAAUUCGUGGUGUAGCGGUGAAAUGCUUAGAUAUCACGAAGAACUCCGAUUG
rnacentral:rRNA from 1 species